rnacentral:rRNA from 1 species
CGGUUAAGUUAGAAAGGGCGCACGGUGGAUGCCUUGGCACUAGGAGCCGAUGAAGGACGGGACGAACACCGAUAUGCUUCGGGGAGCUGUAAGCAAGCUUUGAUCCGGAGAUUUCCGAAUGGGGAAACCCACCACUCGUAAUGGAGUGGUAUCCAUAUCUGAAUACAUAGGAUAUGAGAAGGCAGACCCGGGGAACUGAAACAUCUAAGUACCCGGAGGAAGAGAAAGCAAAUGCGAUUCCCUGAGUAGCGGCGAGCGAAACGGGACCAGCCCAAACCAAGAGGCUUGCCUCUUGGGGUUGUAGGACACUCUGUACGGAGUUACAAAGGAACGAGGUAGAUGAAGAGGUCUGGAAAGGCCCGCCAUAGGAGGUAACAGCCCUGUAGUCAAAACUUCGUUCUCUCCUGAGUGGAUCCUGAGUACGGCGGAACACGUGAAAUUCCGUCGGAAUCCGGGAGGACCAUCUCCCAAGGCUAAAUACUCCCUAGUGACCGAUAGUGAACCAGUACCGUGAGGGAAAGGUGAAAAGCACCCCGGAAGGGGAGUGAAAGAGAUCCUGAAACCGUGUGCCUACAAGUAGUCAGAGCCCGUUAACGGGUGAUGGCGUGCCUUUUGUAGAAUGAACCGGCGAGUUACGAUCCCGUGCAAGGUUAAGCAGAAGAUGCGGAGCCGCAGCGAAAGCGAGUCUGAAUAGGGCGAAUUGAGUACGUGGUCGUAGACCCGAAACCAGGUGAUCUACCCAUGUCCAGGGUGAAGUUCAGGUAACACUGAAUGGAGGCCCGAACCCACGCACGUUGAAAAGUGCGGGGAUGAGGUGUGGGUAGGGGUGAAAUGCCAAUCGAACCUGGAGAUAGCUGGUUCUCUCCGAAAUAGCUUUAGGGCUAGCCUCAAGGUAAGAGUCUCGGAGGUAGAGCACUGAUUGGACUAGGGGCCCCUACCGGGUUACCGAAUUCAGUCAAACUCCGAAUGCCGAUGACUUAUCCUUGGGAGUCAGACUGCGAGUGAUAAGAUCCGUAGUCGAAAGGGAAACAGCCCAGACCGCCAGCUAAGGUCCCAAAGUAUACGUUAAGUGGAAAAGGAUGUGGAGUUGCUUAGACAACCAGGAUGUUGGCUUAGAAGCAGCCACCAUUUAAAGAGUGCGUAAUAGCUCACUGGUCGAGUGACUCUGCGCCGAAAAUGUACCGGGGCUAAACGUAUCACCGAAGCUGCGGACUGUUCUUCGAACAGUGGUAGGAGAGCGUUCUAAGGGCUGUGAAGCAAGACCGGAAGGACUUGUGGAGCGCUUAGAAGUGAGAAUGCCGGUAUGAGUAGCGAAAGAGGGGUGAGAAUCCCCUCCACCGAAUGCCUAAGGUUUCCUGAGGAAGGCUCGUCCGCUCAGGGUUAGUCGGGACCUAAGCCGAGGCCGAAAGGCGUAGGCGAUGGAUAACAGGUUGAUAUUCCUGUACCACCUCCUCACCAUUUGAGCAAUGGGGGGACGCAGGAGGAUAGGGUAAGCGCGGUAUUGGAUAUCCGCGUCCAAGCAGUUAGGCUGGGAAAUAGGCAAAUCCGUUUCCCGUGAAGGCUGAGCUGUGAUGGCGAGCGAAUUAUAGUAGCGAAGUUCCUGAUUCCACACUGCCAAGAAAAGCCUCUAGCGAGGUGAGAGGUGCCCGUACCGCAAACCGACACAGGUAGGCGAGGAGAGAAUCCUAAGGUGAUCGAGAGAACUCUCGUUAAGGAACUCGGCAAAAUGACCCCGUAACUUCGGGAGAAGGGGUGCUCUGUUAGGGUGCAAGCCCGAGAGAGCCGCAGUGAAUAGGCCCAGGCGACUGUUUAGCAAAAACACAGGUCUCUGCGAAGCCGUAAGGCGAAGUAUAGGGGCUGACGCCUGCCCGGUGCUGGAAGGUUAAGAGGAGCGCUUAGCGUAAGCGAAGGUGCGAAUUGAAGCCCCAGUAAACGGCGGCCGUAACUAUAACGGUCCUAAGGUAGCGAAAUUCCUUGUCGGGUAAGUUCCGACCCGCACGAAAGGCGCAACGAUCUGGGCACUGUCUCAACGAGAGACUCGGUGAAAUUAUAGUACCUGUGAAGAUGCAGGUUACCCGCGACAGGACGGAAAGACCCCGUGGAGCUUUACUGCAGCCUGAUAUUGAAUGUUGGUACAGCUUGUACAGGAUAGGUAGGAGCCUUGGAAACUGGAGCGCCAGCUUCGGUGGAGGCAUCGGUGGGAUACUACCCUGGCUGUAUUGACCUUCUAACCCGCCGCCCUUAUCGGGCGGGGAGACAGUGUCAGGUGGGCAGUUUGACUGGGGCGGUCGCCUCCUAAAAGGUAACGGAGGCGCCCAAAGGUUCCCUCAGAAUGGUUGGAAAUCAUUCGCAGAGUGUAAAGGCACAAGGGAGCUUGACUGCGAGACCUACAAGUCGAGCAGGGACGAAAGUCGGGCUUAGUGAUCCGGUGGUUCCGCAUGGAAGGGCCAUCGCUCAACGGAUAAAAGCUACCCCGGGGAUAACAGGCUUAUCUCCCCCAAGAGUCCACAUCGACGGGGAGGUUUGGCACCUCGAUGUCGGCUCAUCGCAUCCUGGGGCUGUAGUCGGUCCCAAGGGUUGGGCUGUUCGCCCAUUAAAGCGGUACGCGAGCUGGGUUCAGAACGUCGUGAGACAGUUCGGUCCCUAUCCGUCGCGGGCGCAGGAAAUUUGAGAGGAGCUGUCCUUAGUACGAGAGGACCGGGAUGGACGCACCGCUGGUGUACCAGUUGUUCUGCCAAGGGCAUCGCUGGGUAGCUAUGUGCGGACGGGAUAAGUGCUGAAAGCAUCUAAGCAUGAAGCCCCCCUCAAGAUGAGAUUUCCCAUUCCGCAAGGAAGUAAGAUCCCUGAAAGAUGAUCAGGUUGAUAGGUCUGAGGUGGAAGUGUGGCGACACAUGGAGCUGACAGAUACUAAUCGAUCGAGGACUUAACCAAUUU